rnacentral:rRNA from 1 species
UACGUAGGGGGCCAGCGUUGUCCGGAAUCAUUGGGCGUAAAGCGCGCGUAGGCGGCCCGGUAAGUCCGUUGUGAAAGUCAAAGGCUCAACCUUUGAACGCCGAUGGAUACUGCCGGGCUAGAGUCCGGAAGAGGCGAGUGGAAUUCCUGGUGUAGCGGUGGAAUGCGCAGAUAUCAGGAGGAACACCAAUAGCGAAGGCAGCUCGCUGGGACGGUACUGACGCUGAGGCGCGAAAGCGUGGGGAGCGAACAGGAUUAGAACUACGUA